ACAAGCGGUGGAGCAUGUGGUUAAUUCGAAGCAACGCGAAGAACCUUACCAGGUCUUGACAUCCCCUGACAACCAAGAGAUUGGCGUCCCUUCGGGGGACAGGGUGACAGGUGGUGCAUGGUUGUCGUCAGCUCGUGUCGUGAGAUGUUGGGUUAAGUCCCGCAACGAGCGCAACCCUCGCCUCUAGUUGCCAGCAUUCGGUUGGGCACUCUAGAGGGACUGCCGGCGACAAGUCGGAGGAAGUGGGAUGACGUCAAAUCAUCAUGCCCCUUAUGACCUGGGCUACACACGUGCUACAAUGGGCGGUACAAAGGGCUGCGAACCCGCGAGGGGGAGCGAAUCCCAAAAAGCCGCUCUCAGUUCGGAUUGCAGGCUGCAACUCGCCUGCAUGAAGCCGGAAUCGCUAGUAAUCGCGGAUCAGCAUGCCGCGGUGAAUACGUUCCCGGGCCUU
rnacentral:rRNA from 1 species